GAGAGAGAGAGAGAGAGAGUAGUAGAUUUUAUAACCCCUACAACAAGGCUGUAAACUUUGGAAAAAUAGAAGGGAAAAAACCUCUUUCAAGCGGAGAAAUUUCAAUCAAAAGGUGUUCUUCUAACAAAAUAUGUAUGGGAAAGCCAAACUAAAAAACUGAUACAUUAACUCUAUAAAUAGCAUAAAUAUAAAAGUUUUAAUCAGGAUCAAAAAAUACAUCAAGAAAUUUCAAUGCAGGGCUCUUGUUCAUCUAGAUGCAUACAUCUAAGAAGCACAUGAUUGUCAUUUCUACAAGCAAUUUAGGAACAAGGAUCAUUUGGCAUGUGUUUCAAGAAUACCAAUACAGCAACAGAUUGCAGUUGCUCAUCUUCCAAGUCCCUGUCACAGAAAUUUGAGGUUUUAGGUUGCAAGAACUCGUAUCUAUAAAAAUGACACAUAAUGGUCUCAUCAGAUUCACUUUAAAAAAGACGACUAGCUGGGAGCUAGUAGAUGGAUCAGACAUUAGUUUAGUUUUGAUAAUGAUUUUGUUCAUUCAGACGCAAACACACAUAUAAAGCAGAAAGAUACCUGUAGCAUUCGUUCACCAAGAAAUACAGCAAAGGUUUUUUGCUCAAAAUUGACGUCUUGGCCUAGCUUCUGCAACAGAGACCCGAAUUGGUCUGCCAUCAAAUUCAACACCAUUCAGGGACUCAAUGGCAUUUUCAACCUCUUCAGCAGAACCAUAAGUAACAAAACCAAAGCCCCUUGAUCUACCGCUCUCUCUGUCAUAGACCACCUUAGCAUCCAAAACCCUCCCUUGCUCACUGAAAAAGGUCUCAAGUGCCAAGUUAUCAACAUUCCAAGAAAGGUUGCCAACAUACAACCGGUUGGCUGAAUCAAAAGCUUCACCACCUCGUGGGCCUCUAGAAAAAGAAGGUUCCUUCUGGGGUGGGGGUCCAGAAUUCACCCUCAACGACCUACCCUCAAGUUCAUAGCCAUUGAACUGCUGAGCAGCUGCUUCAGCUUCCUCGGUAGAUGACAUGGUCACAAAACCAAAUCCUCUGCUUCUCCCAGUUACUUUGUCAUAUAUUACCUCAACCAUCUCAACAUUUCCAGCACUUUCAAACAAACCAGCUAGUUGGGCACUGUCAACGCUAAAGGGAAGAUUACCCACAAACAAUUUGAGGUCGGGAGAGAAAGUGGGCUCAUCUCCGUCGCUCGAGACCUCCUCUUCUUGUCCGAACUCAGAAGAAACUGCGACGUUGGGAACAAAGCGAGAGGAAAAGGGCAGUCGGAGAGCUCCAAAAGAGUGGAAAAGUGAAUCGGUAAUUGAAAUGGUGCCCUUGGCAUGGAGGCUAAGAGAAGAGGAAGAGGGAGAGACAAAAAAGAGAGAAGUGGGUUUGUUGGGGUUGCAAAGGAACAGGGUUUUAGGAUGAAGAGAAGGGAGAACUAGAGAAGAGGCCGCAGCUGUAGACAUGGUUCUUCCUCUGAACUAGUAAGAAAAUAGACCUGGAUAGAGAGGAUAAGAUUUUCAGGGAGGAAAGGGAAUUGCCGAGUUCACGAUAUCUAUAGACAAGUUUGGGUAACC
rnacentral:misc_RNA from 1 species